GACGAACGCUGGCGGCGUGCCUAACACAUGCAAGUCGAACGGGAGCAAGUGCUUCGGUAUUUGCUUUAGUGGCGAACGGGUGAGUAACGCGUGAGGAACCUGCCUUUCAGAGGGGGACAACAGUUGGAAACGACUGCUAAUACCGCAUGACACAUCGAAGGGGCAUCCCUUUGAUGUCAAAGAUUUUAUCGCUGAAAGAUGGCCUCGCGUCCGAUUAGAUAGUUGGCGGGGUAACAGCCCACCAAGUCGACGAUCGGUAGCCGGACUGAGAGGUUGACCGGCCACAUUGGGACUGAGACUACGGCCCAG
rnacentral:rRNA from 1 species